AGAAUAAACAGAAAUUAACAUAGUAAAUUCAUUUUUAGAAAAUCACCAAAUACAAAGUAUAUACAUAAAAGAUAAAAUUAAAUAGUGUUAAAAAUAUUUACAUUAAAUGGAAAAGAAGGGCAAAAUAUCACAUUUUGCGAAAACAGCAUCCACUUCUUUAAAAAAUUGCCACACAUAACUCAUUUUGGUUCUUUUUGACACAGACAUCUUUAAUUUUUAUUAAGUAUUAGUAAACUGAUUUGUAACAGUUUCGUACACAAAUUAAUGUAAAUGAUUUGUUAUUUUUUAAGACGCACAUUUUUAAAGUCGCACUAAAAUACCCUGCAAGACGGAGGUAACAGAUUGCACAAACACAUUGAAACAUUUUCAGCUGUUCACUAACACUGUUACAUUUUGUGCGAUUUUCAAUUGCAUGGGAGAAUACGUAAGUAAGAUAGAGAACAACUAACGACAUUCUAAACAUAUUGUAAUGUUAACUAGCUAGAAUAGGAGAGACGAAUACUCAAUUUUUCAAGAAGAAGCAAACGAAAAGCGCAGUUUCAAGAAUGAUAAAAACAAAGAUUGCGCAAUGACGAGUUCAAAUUUUGUUCGUUGUUCGUGGUAUUGCAGGCAUACAAAAUCAUGAAUAUCAUCAAAAGUUAACAUCAAUAUAAAUGAAUAUUAAUAAAAGAUAUCAAUAUAAGUGAAUAUUUUAUAGUGAACAUUUACCUACAUAUUCAUUUAACUGAAUUUUCAUUGUAUUAUUUAAUUUUGUCUCGUUGCUGUGUUUGUUUCAACCAUUUAUAUAUAACCCAAAAGUUGGAUGCCAUUAAGAGCCGUCUUACUGCAAUUUAAAACUCCCUAACAAACAAAAUGCCAGAAAAGGCCGAGAUGCAGACGCAUGCCGCGUCAUAGCGGCAUCACCGGUGACUUGGAGGAUGAGCAUUACGUGGAGCUCGAAUCGAAAUUGCCUAUGUCAUCGGAAGAGCACGGGUGCUUCGGGGACAAACAUUCACAAAUGAAAAUGGAUAUUAGUUUUAAGUUGUAAAUAUUAGUUUUAAGUUUGACAUAUUAGUUUUAAGUUGUAAAUAUUAGUUCUAAGUUGUAUAUAUUAGUUCUAAGUUGA